rnacentral:sRNA from 1 species
GCGGCGGCGGCCCCAAUCGAGCCACACCACCCGAAACUCGGCAGGCAAGAAGCUGGUCCGGCCUGACAAGGCGAAGACACAGGACACAGGCCACCGCCGAGGAGGAGGAGGAGGAGGAGCAGGUUUCAGAGGUGCCGGGAAGUCUGAGUCUUCGCCCUCCUGCUCUCCCUCCAUGUCCACCUAGGAGGCUGCCUACACCUGGGCAAGGGCACCCGGGCUCGGCUGGAUUUCCAGGAAGACCCACCCUAUGACGACUGCCCCCACUCCCAGAUCCUCCCCCAGCCUGGGAUUGAGCCCUGGGGAUGACCCGGGGUUGGCAAGGGAACAGCUGAAAUCGCCCCGUCCUUGGGGACCCCGCCCUUUGUACCGUCUGCCGUCUCCCCAGUGUUGGGCAUCCAGUCAGCCCUCAAUAAAUGCUUAUGAAUGGAUCAACAACA